rnacentral:rRNA from 1 species
UACGUAGGGUGCAAGCGUUGUCCGGAAUUAUUGGGCGUAAAGCGCACGUAGGCGGCUUUGCAAGUUAGAGGUGAAAGCCCGGGGCUCAACCCCGGAAUUGCCUUUAAGACUGCAUCGCUAGAAUUGUGGAGAGGUGAGUGGAAUUCCGAGUGUAGAGGUGAAAUUCGUAGAUAUUCGGAAGAACACCAGUGGCGAAGGCGACUCACUGGACACAUAUUGACGCUGAGGUGCGAAAGCGUGGGGAGCAAACAGG